rnacentral:lncRNA from 1 species
CACUGUGCUUUUUUUUUUUUUAAAGUUGACAGUUUUCUCUGCUUUAAAAGUCAGAGGUGUAGCUUCUUCCUAAUAACACGUAUUUGUCUCCACAGGUGACACAAGAUGAACACUGAAUCCUAGAGAAAUGGUUGGAAGAGGGACCAGAGUUCAGCCUCUCUGCCCUGGGAUGUGAAUGGACCCUUUGUAUGUACAUUUUGACAUACUGGAAAGCCUGGAAUGUCCAGAAUGCUCCAUAUCUUUGGAAGAUCCUUAUUUUGCCUGAAGAAGAAAGUCAUAUGUUUGAGAUAAUCGCAUAGAAUGAUGUGGGUGGUGGAGAUUCAAGAAAUCACACUUAAAAAAUUUCUAUAGACAUGUGCUCAGGAAAGCCAAGUGAUCUGUAUUAGCAUAAAGAGGCUCCAAGAGAGAUGUCAAUGUUUUGUUUGUUACUUUAGCAAGCUAUUAUUUUAAAAAAAGUAUGAUAUUUAUGCAUAUGAAAACAUUUUUCAGAGCUGAGGAUCUAAUAAAGAUUUAUAGCAACCAAGGGAG